rnacentral:rRNA from 1 species
GUCUAAGUAUAAGCAACUAUACGGUGAAACUGCGAAUGGCUCAUUAAAUCAGUUAUCGUUUAUUUGAUAGUACCUUGCUACAUGGAUACCUGUGGUAAUUCUAGAGCUAAUACAUGCUAAAAACCUCGACUUCGGAAGGGGUGUAUUUAUUAGAUAAAAAACCAAUGCCCUUCGGGGCUCCUUGGUGAAUCAUAAUAACUUAACGAAUCGCAUGGCCUUGCGCCGGCGAUGGUUCAUUCAAAUUUCUGCCCUAUCAACUUUCGAUGGUAGGAUAGUGGCCUACCAUGGUAGCAACGGGUAACGGGGAAUUAGGGUUCUAUUCCGGAGAGGGAGCCUGAGAAACGGCUACCACAUCCAAGGAAGGCAGCAGGCGCGCAAAUUACCCAAUCCCGAUACGGGGAGGUAGUGACAAUAAAUACUGAUACAGGGCUCUUUUGGGUCUUGUAAUUGGAAUGAGUACAAUUUAAAUCCCUUAACGAGGAACAAUUGGAGGCAGCU